GCAAAUAGGGACACUCAAGGACAUUUGUCACCCCACUGAGAGCUUGGGUUGAUUCAGCUGACUGGGUUGGCUAGGCACAUGUCCUCUUCCUUCCUCACUGCACCAUGUAUGUCUCUCCUAAAGCUGCAAGCUAUGUCACUAUGCGGAAAGGACAAUGUUCCCUGAACAGAGAAGCCUGGGCUUCAGUCAAGGGUACACGAGUGGCUGCACGCCUCCAAACAAGCUCCCAAACAGGACACUCAUGCUUACAA
rnacentral:snRNA from 1 species